rnacentral:rRNA from 1 species
CCCUUAGAUGUUCUGGGCCGCACGCGCGCUACACUGACGAAUGCAACGAGCUUAUAACCUUGGCCGAAAGGUCUGGGUAAUCUCCAAAUUUCGUCGUGAUGGGGAUAGAUUAUUGCAAUUAUUAAUCUUCAACGAGGAAUGCCUAGUAAGCGCAAGUCAUCAGCUUGCGCUGACUACGUCCCUGCCCUUUGUACACACCGCCCGUCGCUACUACCGAUUGAAUGAUUUAGUGAGGACUUCGGACUGGGACCGAUGCGGCUUUCGGGCUGCGUCGGUAUUCUGGAAAGAUGUCCAAACUGUAUCAUUUAGAGGAAGUAAAAGUCGUAACA